CUUCCGUAGGUGAACCUGCGGAGGGAUCAUUACCGAGUUUACAACUCCCAAACCCCUGUGAACAUACCACUUGUUGCCUCGGCGGAUCAGCCCGCUCCCGGUAAAACGGGACGGCCCGCCAGAGGACCCCUAAACUCUGUUUCUAUAUGUAACUUCUGAGUAAAACCAUAAAUAAAUCAAAACUUUCAACAACGGAUCUCUUGGUUCUGGCAUCGAUGAAGAACGCAGCAAAAUGCGAUAAGUAAUGUGAAUUGCAGAAUUCAGUGAAUCAUCGAAUCUUUGAACGCACAUUGCGCCCGCCAGUAUUCUGGCGGGCAUGCCUGUUCGAGCGUCAUUUCAACCCUCAAGCACAGCUUGGUGUUGGGACUCGCGUUAAUUCGCGUUCCUCAAAUUGAUUGGCGGUCACGUCGAGCUUCCAUAGCGUAGUAGUAAAACCCUCGUUACUGGUAAUCGUCGCGGCCACGCCGUUAAACCCCAACUUCUGAAUGUUGACCUCGGAUCAGGUAGGAAUACCCGCUGAACUUAAGCAUAUCAAUAAGCGGAGGAA
rnacentral:rRNA from 2 species